GAUGAACGCUGGCGGCGUGCCUAAUACAUGCAAGUCGAGCGAACGGACGAGAAGCUUGCUUCUCUGAUGUUAGCGGCGGACGGGUGAGUAACACGUGGAUAACCUACCUAUAAGACUGGGAUAACUUCGGGAAACCGGAGCUAAUACCGGAUAAUAUUUUGAACCGCAUGGUUCAAAAGUGAAAGACGGUCUUGCUGUCACUUAUAGAUGGAUCCGCGCUGCAUUAGCUAGUUGGUAAGGUAACGGCUUACCAAGGCAACGAUGCAUAGCCGACCUGAGAGGGUGAUCGGCCACGCUGGAACUGAGACACGGUCCAGACUCCUGCGGGAGGCAGCAGUAGGGAAUCUUCCGCAAUGGGCGAAAGCCUGACGGAGCAACGCCGCGUGAGUGAUGAAGGUCUUCGGAUCGUAAAACUCUGUUAUUAGGGAAGAACAUAUGUGUAAGUAACUGUGCACAUCUUGACGGUACCUAAUCAGAAAGCCACGGCUAACUACGUG
rnacentral:rRNA from 1 species